ensembl:lncRNA
AUGGCGUUAACUGUAGUGCACCCACUGCAAAAAUGAAGCAUUAUUAGACAUAAUCAUACCUUAAGCUAUGAUGACAGAUGUUAAAAUGACUAUAGGUAUUUGAAGGAGAAAAAGGGUCACAGACAGUUAUCUAGAAGCAAUGAGACAAGGAUGUUUGGAGAAAUAACCUAUUCUCUGAAAGAUGAUAUGAUUUUAGGGUAUGAGAGGUAAUGGGUGAGAUAAUUGGGAAGAUAGAGCAAAGGGCUAGUUUCUAAUUAAAUUGACAGCAUAUACAGAAUUUUACUCAGGAAAAAUGCCAAUGAUCUGAGUUGGGCCACCAUUUAGUGCAUGCAACUCUGCAGUGAGACUACUUUUGGAAGAUGCCUCAUAAACAAGGGCUGGAAACAUGGCACAGCUUUUUAAGGCAAGACUGUUUUCCACUGUCUAUCAAGAUAAAUGCUACACCAAUUUUGUGUUCAUCCACAAAAUGGUAAUGAAAUACAAAGAGGGCAUCCAGGGUGAUAGCCAGGAGAGGGAGUCAGUGCAUUAAUUCUGCUUAGCAAGAAAGAUGUUUAAAUUUGAAGAAAAAAAAAUCCAUAAGUAUUACAGGGUAUUCACACUGCCUUCCUGUUAUGACACUCUUUGGACUAAAUGAUAAAUCAAAGGAAAUGGAUUGAUACUCUUGGUAGUUGGAUGAAGUAAGAAGAAAGCUGAAUAAAUGAGCAAAGGAUACUUUUUUUAAUUUAAAAGGAUUAUAAUUUUCAGAUGUUGUUUGACCUAAGGCAGGGUGAGGUGGAUUUUUAUUUUUUAGCAAUACUCACAUCUGAAAUAGUAUCACGUACAUUUUUAGCCAGUACUGAAACAAAUUCCAUAUUCUAUACAAAUGGGGGAAAUGCAAUUCAUAAUUGACAAGAUAUGAAUUUUUUAUACUUUAAGCCAUGAGACUGCCACAUCAACAAAUGUAAUUCCUUAGCAAAUAUGUCUUAUGUUUAUAUUUAUGAAAUGUAUACAAUUGACACAGAACUCAAAAGGGAAUAAGUAAACAUUUUGNUUUGAUUUGCAAACUUCAUUCUGGGAAACAUUUAUUAAAUUAGAAAUAAGGAAGGAAUUCAAGCAAAAUGUACUUAGAGUUUCAGUUUCUCUUGGACUUCGUUUUAUGCAUUUUGCCAAAGCUUGGACUCCAAUACAUCAAAGUGUUUGUUUUGUUUUGUUUUUAAAAUUUUGAAUAUAUACAAAGCUACUCUCAAAAGUGAAAAUGAAAAAUCAUUAAAACUUAAAAUUCGUCUCUGGGAGCCCCACAUUGCAGUGGGUGAUUUCAUGUUAAAUAUCCUAAACUGAAACAGCAAGAAGAGAUCAAGACUCUUAGAAAGAGUGAUUAAGUUUGGACAAGUGAUGUCCUCAACAUUUUGUGUAGCUAUUCACCACAGCUUACUGAAGGGCCAUAAGAUAAAAAUUUUCUUGAAGUAACUUUGAUAUCCAUUCAAAUGUAAGUUCUUUGAGGGUACAGAUCUUGUUUAUCCUGUCUCCCAACCUCUUUGAUGUCAUAAUGAAGUUAGACGAAGCAGUACUUCUAACUAGUUCCCCAGGGGUGAAGAGAGAAAGUAAGGAAGUGGCUCAUCAUCCUCAAAGAGCUGAAGCAAUGGCAGUUAUUCCAGAGGCUCCUAAUCUGCCACCACUGUGAAAAUCAUGGCAUCUCAGCUCACUGGGCGUGAAAUAUACUCAAAUCGGUUCUUCCAAUUCUGGUCUGCCACGUGGGGUGCAAAGACAGGUUUGUUUGUUUGUAUCAAUUAACUUGAUGACAUAUGCAGAGUGGAUAUUAAGUGUUGCUAAACUGUGAACAGCUCUCAUUUCACUUCUUAUCAGAGGAGACACAGAAGGACACAGGUAGCAGUAAAAGUGCUAAGAACUUACUCUAGUGGGUAAGAACAUUAACUCUGGAGCCAGCUGCUUGGGUUAGAACACUGGCUCCACCACUGACCAGCUGUAUGACCUUGGGUAACUCCUGGCCUGUGGUAGUAAUUAAAGUUGCUAUGAAAGCUAAAUGAAUUACUAUUGCAAAGUACUUAGAACAGUGGCUGGUACACUGAAAUUGCUAAAUAAGCAUUAGCUAUUAUAAUUAUAUGCGCUAAACCCCCACAGUGCCAGUUCAUAGUGGGCAUUCAGUAAAUACUUUCAUUCAUCCAGUAAUCAAAGAACACUGGAACCUGUAUGAAUAUCAAUACAGGGAGUGACUCAGUGAAGAGUAAUGACAUCUUUAACCAUGAAGAGCUCUAAUUUUGUCCUAGAUUCUAGAACAGAUUUAAACUUUCUAAAUCUUUAGCCAAUUUUAAACAAAAUAUGAGCCAGAUCUAUAUUUUAAAUCCUUUUUCUAAACACAAUGAUGCUAUUAAUUUGAAUAAGAGAGGUUGCAAACAGGCUCUUCAGUUGAUGGAUCCCAUGUUUCUAAAUAGUGCUUUCAUUCAGAUUGUUAUCCCCAGAAGUGGUUAGUGCAAUGGUUAGUCAGCCUUGUGCCAACCUGUAUUGCCAAAACAACUGUGAUGCCUGUGUUGGCAUCAGCUUUACAUGGCUAGUAAAAGCGCAUUUGAGUUUUAGAAGUUUUAGAGUUGUGAAUAUGUAAUCCUUCUUGAUGAAAAGAGGACUUUAAAAAAAUCAUUUUUCAGUGCAAGAAUAAUAAUAAUAAUAAUAAUUACAUAAUAAUAAUAUUGUUUGACACAGCAAACAGUUUAGCAAAUGAAAAAGGCACCAAGUGCCUAUAGAGCACAGUCCAUGAACAUUUCCAAUUAUAUCAAAUUUAACUAGAGAAAUAUUUUUUUAUUCAUUAAAUCAUACAUUACUCUGAGGAAAAAAGUGGUACUCACAAUAUAUAGUAGUUUUGACACUUCUCCUAGCAGAGGGUAUUUCUUCUAUAUCAGCACUGAAUGCUGGCCAAAUAGUAUGACCUCAGCCUUCUAUUUCUUAACUCUUAGAAUUUUUAAAAAUCCACUGCUAGAAAGAAGCCUCCAUGGACAUAUGUGUGAUUUACUGGUAACGGAAAAGUUCAGCUUCCAUUACUACUGAUGGCUAUGCUUCCAUUUAUGUUUUCCCUAAGCCAUAACUAUUUAAAAUGUUACUGUUAGCAUUCUUAGUUGUCCCAUAGGUUGGCAUGUAACUCUCUUACUUAAAUACAUAGAAAAAAAUCAUAUUAAUUAAAAUAAAUUGUUGGACAGUUAAGUUGUGUUACAGAUUGUCUAUGGAGACUAUAAAUUCAAAUUAAGGGUUUUGCUGCUUGUUCCUGAGCUUGGAAAGAUUCCUUUUACUGCAUCAGUAGUAGCAAAAGAAAUCAGUUACUUACGAAAGAAUAUUCACUUGAAUUCUUGCAAAAAUAGCUAGAUAAACUGCAUAUGUAGCUAGUUAUCAUAAUCAUUUAAUGAAUUCUUGGCUGAAGCUAAGACCUAACUUGCUAAUUCAUGAUGACAAGUGUCGAUAUUUAAUUGUAUUGAGUAUGGAUUUUCACUGACAUAACUAUUUAUUCUCUUUAUUUAAAAUAUAUAUAUUUCUCUAUAUGUUCAUAUUUAUUCUCUUUAUUUCUAUGUGUUUCUAUACAUUAAAUAUACAUAACAUUGGUGUUCUAAGUGGUAUAUUAAUAAACUAUAAUGUUUUUUCACAAAUUAAACAAAUCUUAUUUUUUGGGUAUUAAAGUGUUAAAUUGAGUCAAAAUAAUUUAUGGGGCAUUGGAAUAACUCACCUUAAGAAAUGCUUAUGUCGUAUAACUUCCAAAGGCAAAGAAAUGACUGCCAUUUACAGUAUUCUGUAAACAAUGAAUGUCUUUUACAGUUCACAAAAACAUCUAUAAUAUUAAAAAUAAAGACUCUAAAAUAAAACAGUACAAAUAAAUUAUAUUCUUAACUUUUGACCUUGCUGUGAAUAAGUAUCUUAAUGCUCUCCUUUUUCCUACUGAAUUCUACCCAAACUAGCACUUUAAUUAGCUUGAGGGAGUAACUUAUAUUACAAAUAAGUUUGCAAAGCUCUCUUUGCUCCCUUAUCAAAGUGAGAUUUUUGCCAUCCACUCAUUCCCUAAUGCUCCUACUGAAAAUGUAUGAUUCCUUUAUUUAACUACUUUAGAGAUUCAAUAAAAAGUUCAGAGAAAAA